UACGAAGGGUGCUAGCGUUGUUCGGAAUGACUGGGCGUAAAGGGCGCGUAGGCGGCAGAGCACGUCUGAUGUGAAAGACCUGGGCUUAACCUGGGAAGUGCAUUGGAUACGGCUUUGCUAGAGCGCGGGAGAGGAGAAUGGAAUUGCGUGUGUAGAGGUGAAAUUCGUAGAUAUACGCAAGAACACCGGUGGCGAAGGCGAUUCUCUGGCCCGAUACUGACGCUGAGGCGCGAAAGCGUGGGGAGCAAACAGG
rnacentral:rRNA from 1 species